AAAGUCGUAACAAGGUUUCCGUAGGUGAACCUGCGGAAGGAUCAUUAACAAAUUCAUCCACACACUGACGUCCCACUCGGGACGCUACAACUAGCGUCACGAGUGGUGUACUCAACCACACACACACACUUUACUUGAUUGACAACACCUAGUGAUAUCUAGUUAACGGUAGACAACUUUUAACAAUGGAUCUCUUGGCUCUU
rnacentral:misc_RNA from 1 species